GACGAACGCUGGCGGCGUGCUUAACACAUGCAAGUCGAGCGGAAAGGCCACUUCGGUGGUACUCGAGCGGCGAACGGGUGAGUAACACGUGAGUAAUCUGCCCCUGGCUUUGGGAUAGCCACCGGAAACGGUGAUUAAUACCGGAUAUGACCAUCUUUCGCAUGAUUGGUGGUGGAAAGUUUUUCGGCCAGGGAUGUGCUCGCGGCCUAUCAGCUUGAUGGUGAGGUAAUGGCUCACCAUGGCUUCGACGGGUAGCCGGCCUGAGAGGGUGACCGGUCACACUGGGACUGAGACACGGCACAGACUCCUACGGGAGGAAGCAGUGGGGAAGAUUGGACAAUGGGCGGAAGCCUGAUCCAGCAACGCCGCGUGAGGGAUGACGGCCUUCGGGUUGUAAACCUCUUUCAGUACCGACGAAGCGCAAGUGUCGGUAGGUACAGAAGAAGCCCCGGCUAACUUCGUGCCAGCCGCCGCCGUAAGAC
rnacentral:rRNA from 1 species